UAAAUAAUAAGUUAGACUGAUGUUACUUAGUGAUGUGAUACGACUUUAUGAACUUUGAACUGUAUAAUACAGGACACUGUGUGACAUAGGCUCAUCAGCUAAAUAGCUGCUCGCCUAUAAUUAUAUAAUAAUAAUAAAUCGGCCAAGAGCAUGUCGGGCCGUACUCAGUGUAGGGUUUCGUAGUUACCAUUCUGUCAAAAUGGGCCAAAUGGGGCCUAUUAGUAUCAUGUACAUACCAAGCAUAAGGGAGUAUCCUUGCACCGCUUUGUAAGUACGUAUUAAACUUUUUCCAGGCAUAAUACGAUUUAUCCACCACAUACGCGCCAAUAGAAUUUCAACCUUAGCCAUUCGAUUUAAGGUUCAAAUUAGAUUGCACUUUCGGAAAAUAAGACGUCUUCAAAUCAAUCAUCAAAGCUGGAUUUAUUGGAAUAUAUGUGUUUUUUUUUUGGGAAAACCUUGUAGAUCAGUGCGGCCUGGAAAAGGGUUAUAAAAAGAGAUAUUUUUUUCAAUUUUAUACCUUUUUAGUCAAAAAAUCAGUAAAAUACUUACGUCAAAUUUAUUUCCAUAGCCUGGAGGAAAAUCUUUGCUUUUCAGAACAUUACUUCGGCUCUGUAUAGUUUUUUGCACGUACUUCAGAAUCUGGAAUCAAAUAAUACCAGUGUUGGAAGUAGCGAAACGUUAAUGCAAUUAAAAAUUAUUGGCCAUUAACCAUUAUAACUUGAACCGUAAAUUGUAACCGUCCGUUACGGUUACGAUUCAAUUUAUAAUGGUUAAUUGUUAAUUGCAAUUAUCGUUCGGCCAGUGAAUAAUACCCCCUACUCUAAUAAAGGGUCUCCGGCAAGCUCGGCCGAAUGUCACCUUCCCAUACAAACGGAAUUUCGUUCUCAUUUUAAAACUAUGUGUUGGAUUGUAAUGAAACUUUACACAUACAAUGACAUGAGGUAUUUCUAGGACUGAAAUUAGUUUAUAUUGCUCCACCUUAUAAAACAUAAGAAAUAGAGCAAAAACAAGUUUUGUAUGAAAAUCUUAAAUUCGCUGUAUUUUUUUUUACUAUGCUAUCUGUGAACUAAUUACAGCCCUAUUGGUUGACGUAACUGGUGACCGAAGAGCUGGCGGCUUCCUCGCACAACGUAUCAGUAUUGCGAUACAACGAGGAAAUGCCGCCAGCAUCCUUGGAACAAUGCCUCAAGGGCCUAUUUUAGAUAUAAGCUACUAGUUAUAGUAAUCAUCUGUAUAUAUCCAUUAUGUAUAUUGUUAUUGUAAAUAAAUACUUUUAA